UACGUAGGCAGCAAGCGUUGUUCGGAAUUACUGGGCGUAAAGAGUGUGUAGGCGGUGCUCUAAGUCUGUUGUGAAAUCCCCCGGCUUAACCUGGGAACUGCGUCUGAUACUGGAAGGCUUGAGUAUGGGAGAGGGAUGUAGAAUUCCAGGUGUAGCGGUGAAAUGCGUAGAUAUCUGGAGGAAUACCGGUGGCGAAGGCGGCAUCCUGGACCAUUACUGACGCUGAGGCGCGAAAGCUAGGGGAGCAAACGGG
rnacentral:rRNA from 1 species